rnacentral:misc_RNA from 1 species
AAAAAAAAAGGGAAUCCAACCAGUCUCUUGGCCUUUAUUUCUUGGAUGAUAUAGUUGAUUUUCUUGAGAAAUGUCUUUGUCAAAGAAAGAAAUGGAGAAGGAAGAACAUUAAAAUAGAAAGAAAUUUGUAUCAAUAAAAGAGAUGGCAAAGUGACAGUAUAAAACUUUACUUGUAUGAGGAGACAUUCACUUAGGCAAGAUGCUUCUUUUACCCAGUUAUUUUGUUCCACGUCAUCAGCAAUUACAAGUUUUACUACUCGUGCUGAACCCCUUUCUGAUAAAAAAGAAAUUAUUAGGGUAAAAGUCAAAUUUGGCUAUAGAUUAUUGUGAAGCUGCCAAAAUGUCAAAAUUAUUAAAUAAUCACAGCUAAAUAUAUAUAUUUCUAAAAAUAAGUUUUUUUUUUUCCAGCUCCAAUCUCAAUCUCAAUUGGAGCUUUAGUCUCUUUGCUGCUUCUGGUGGGUAGCCGCUAGCAGAAUCAACCUACCAAAACCGAAUUACCAACCAAGCAGGAUUUUCAGGUCAGAGAAACUAACAUUAACUGAGAAUAUUUAACUUGAUAAUUAAAUAUAUUCAAACCUAAUCUAGAUUGGUCAUGAGAAUCAAGACAUUAGUUCACACACGAAGCAAAUGGAAUUCAAAACGAGCUCCAAGUAUAUCAAACCAUCAGUUGACACAAAUUGAUGAGAGUUGUUGAGCUAUAAUAGAGCAAAAUUCACUGCAUUUUCAAAGGCAGCAACCUAUUUAGGAGGAACUUCCCCCAACACAGCCAUAGCAAUGAGCAUAAUAUAGAAAACGAUUGCCAAAGAAUAUUGCACUAAGGAAAAAUCAACUACAAAAGAGAAACAAUAAGAGCAACAAAAAUUGCCAAAGAAUAUUGACAAUAAGAGCAACAAAAAUACAGAGAGUCGUGGGUGUUGAAGAAGCUUUUCUAACUACCUUGAAGCCAUCCUCACCAUCUCAAAAAGCUUCAUGCGAGGUGGCAAAUACAACCCUCAUUUUAAACUUCAAGGGAUAAUCAAAUUUUAGCAUUGUCCCAAACAAAUAUGACUUUAGAAUGUUGAGAAUGUGCACGUAAGAUGAGGGUAUCCAUGUCAUUGACAAACCUCAAGGGAUCCUGCCUUCCCUAAAAAGCUUUUACAAAUACAUGGUAGUCCAGAAUGUCAAUAUGUGUAUUAUGCAGAAAAAAGCAACUUUGUACAGUUCAUUAAGAAAGAGAUUUUGUAAUCCAUUCAACAUGCAACAUACAGAAGCAGUGGCGACUAAAAGCUUGCUGUGGUAGUAGACCAGCUAAUAAGAAUGCACACAGUUGCCUCAUGUAGGGUUGAAGUGUAUCAACAAAAAAUAACAUCAAAUCGACCAGCAAAAAGAAUAAUAAAUAGAAAAUUACCAAUCUGCCAAACAAAUUCUUCAUCCACCCACAAAAGUCAGCCUGUUUGUUCCCUUCAAUCUAAUGAUUUUGACUAAAUUACUAAAUCAUCAUUGCAAGCUUCAGAAAUUAGAUUCUUUAGAACAGAGACUUCUUCCCAUCAAAAUUUCCCCACCUAACAAAAAGCAUAAAGCCACAGGAAGGAAAGCAUUCUAAACAGUAUGCAAGUUAAAACUUGACAAAAUUUAUGAUUCAACAAAUUUUGAGUCAGAAACAGAGCAUCCUUUAAAUGCCUUAAAAUGCAAUUCCUAGUUCUCA